rnacentral:misc_RNA from 1 species
UUUGCAAACUCUUACGGCGAAUAUCAGCAACAAAGAGGCGAAUUUGUUAUUAAAAUAAAACUUCAAUAUACUUAAUUCUUAUUUGCUUGCAUUCGGUGUCAAUUUACUUGUAUUGUAUUAUGAGUUGUUAUCGAAAGUAACAAUCAGGGUAGACGCAAAGUCGAACAAGAAAAGAAUAAUAAAGAAAAUUUGCCAACACGUAACAAAGAAAAGAUUGUGCAAAUAUCGCAAUAAUCGCAGCAACAGAAAAAUAAAAUUUGCAAAACGAAAGGGAAAAAUUGGAAAUUUUUAAUAGUGAAUUUCAAUUGAGAGAAUGGAGCAAAGUGAAGAACAAACAGAUGGCUUGGAUCAAGCACCCAACGCAAUAGCGUCCGCAUCCUCGCCAAGGCUGAUGACCAUGCGUGAGGAAGCAAAUGCAACAGUGUUGGUGCCUUUGGAGGCUGAUGAAAAUUUGCAAUUGCCUGCAACAACAUUGUCUGCAUCAUCAAUGGCAUUGGCGACAGCAGCAAUAACAGCAACAACAGGCAGUGAUGCAAAUGCAAAUGAUGCCGUAAUCGAUCUUUGCAGUACUAGCCCAGCCCCUUCUACCUCGAAAUCUGCUGCUGCUGCUGCUGCAACCAUAACUGUGGAUAGUAGUCCUGAAGCGACCUCACCGCCGCCUAGUAUUGAUGAUACAGCUGGUGGAUCUGCGACCACAAUUGAAUGCCCGAUAUGCUUACAAACCUGCAUACAUCCAGCACGCCUGCCAUGCGGGCACAUUUUUUGUUUCCUAUGCGUGAAAGGCGUCGCUUACAAAAAUCGUCGUUGCGCCAUGUGUAGACGUGAAAUACCGCCAGAAUUUCUUGAUCAUCCCGAUUUGGUGAAUGGCAUCGAUGAUAUUUGUGCAACUAAAUCCACCGAAGACGGUUAUCAAUGGUUCUACGAAGGACGUAAUGGUUGGUGGCAGUAUGACGAUCGUACCAGCCAGGAUAUUGAGGAGGCAUUUAAGAAAGGUGAAAAAUCCUGUAUCAUAUUGGUGGCUGGCUAUGUAUAUGUUGUCGAUUUGGAAGCAAUGGUCCAGCAACGUCAAAAUGAGCCAAGUCGUUGCCGACGCGUCAAGCGCGAUCUAGCCACAAUACCCAAAAAAGGUGUAGCUGGCCUACGCAUUGAGGGUAAUACUGUCAUAACCGAUUCCAACUUCGCCUCACAAAUCUAUCAACAGCAGCAGCAGCAAAGUAUAUCUAUUGGACUGGGUGCUUUGAAUACACCAACAGAUUCCUCAUCAGACCUCAGCCUGCCACUCAACUACUACAGCAUGCGCCAUCCAGCCAAUGCAAGCGAUUUCAUUUCAACUAUUGCCGCCACCGAUGCGGCUAUACGCAUAGCAAGCGAUAUAAUUGGUUCCACAUUGGCACACGCCGACGAAUUGUCACGCAGCACAGCAGCAGUGGCUGCGGCCUCAGCACAACAGCAGCAUGCUGUGGGUGAUGCACAAACUAUUGCACAGCAGCACAUGAGUGGCGUGAAUCAGAAUCGUUCCUCCCACCUUUUUCUUUCCGUGCAAUGUAUACUCAAAGAUUGCGUCAUCAGUAUAUUGGAAUUUUACAAAUCCCUACUGAUACCCAACUACUGUGUAGGCAAAUAAUUAAACGAAAACAGAAAACUCAAAAGGCCAAUUGUUGUCCGCCACAAUAAUCCCGUUAUACUUAUAGUAGUCAGAUAAAAGAAAACACAGACAGCCAACCAAUUAUUCGAAAGGUGUUUUGAAAGCAACACGGCUGCUACUUACUUAACUCUUAAAAUUAUGCUUUAUAUUUUUGCAAUUAUAAACACAUAUGUACGUUCGUAAUAGUUUUAAAAAAUUAUCUCAA